ensembl:lncRNA
GUCCUUAGCUGCUCAGGUUUGCAACCUCAGCAUCACUCUCAAUCUUCCUUUUCCUGUACUCUUUUUGUCUAGUCAGUUGCCAACUCUAGGUGAUUCUCCUUUCAUAACAUUUUUUACAUUUCAUAUUUCUGCUCACACAAAGCUAGAGUCCUAAUUUAGGGCCUCAUCACAUUUUUCCUCCUAACUUAUAUCCUUGCCUCAAUUCUCUUUUCCUAUUCAGUUUCACUUAGCUGAAAAAAUGAAAUUCUUCAAGCCCUCUAAGGAUGUUAGGCAACUUUCUAAUAUCAUAAGUAGUAGGGGAGGUGUUAACCUUCCUUCUCAGAGGGAGUUUCCUCAUCCAGGAAUUUCAGACAUGGGGAAACUUUUAUCAAUUCAAUCACCAUGUAUUAUCCUAGAGAACUAAAGAUGGAACAUUAUACUAACAUCAUGAUACAGAAGUGUUUGAUGCAGGGUGAUAACUGAAAAUAUUUUCAUUGAAACUUAUGACAGUUUUAGUUCUAGAUGAUAGUUACUUUCAAGAAUACUCUGAAAUCAUUGAUGUUGAAUUUAGGGAGCUAACAGUGUCCAGCCAUAUUCAAUUUUAAUAUGUAUAUUUGAUUUUGAAACUAAAUCAUGGUAACUGGAAACAAAGUAGGGGUUCAUAGAUUAGAGAAUGACUCAAAAUUAUGAUACAUUAAUAUAAUGGAAUAUUGUCAGGUCAUAAUAAGUAAUGUAUAAGAAAGAAAAAGAAAAUUAUACAAGAAAACUUAUAUGCACUGAUUCAAAGUGAAGUAAAUAGAAGAAAGGAAGCAAUAUUCAAAAUGGAUACAAUAACAUAAAAACAAUAACAACAAAAAGAAAUUAAAUACUGUCUAAUUGUAAUGAAGAGGCUUGGCCUCAUGUAAGACAUGAGAUGAGAAAACAUAUUGCCUUCCCUUUAUUGGAGAAGAGAGGAUCGAUGAGUACAUUAUGUUUUAUAAACAUUUUUAACACAUUGUCAUUAUUGUGGAAGACUUCUUUCUUUUUUUCCUUUCUUUUAAAAAUAUUUGACUAAAAAGGAUUGCUCUCUGAGUAAGAGAUAGGAGAGAGAUAUAGAUGAAAAUGAAGAUGAUAUAAAUAUAAAAUAAUAAAAUAAAAUAAAUGCAGAUCUAAAUUUAAAAAUAAAUAUAUUUAUGUGUAUUUAUAUAUAAACAUAAGAUAAAUAAAGCUACCAUAAAGAGUAAAAGAAUCAAUAUUAUUAAAAUAUAAAAUAAAAAUAAAAACUACCAUUUGGUCCAGAGAAUACAGAUUUUAAAGGCACUAGAAAAUCCAUGAAAAGAACCACUUGCACUAAAAAUAAAAAAAUAAAACCUAUGUUGCUCUACUGAUUUAUCACAAGGGUGCUAUUGGGUUGAAUUCUUCUUGUUGUUGAAAGUUAAGGGAAAGUUUAGAUUAACUUAAUGAGCAACCUGGAAUACAGAGAACUCAUGAUGAUAUAUGCCAACCAUCUCUUGCCAAAGAGAUGGUGUAGAAUGAGACAGUUUUUUAAAAAAGACAUUGACUAUGUUAGAAUUAGUUUUAUUUGAUUAUAUAUAUUUUUAAAAAACAUUUUGUUUCUGAUUUUCUUUUUUCUAAUGGGAUAGAAGUAGGAAAGAAAAAUAGAUUAUUUUCUAUGAAAAAUAAAUAAAAUGAAGUUUAGAAAAUUAAAUGAAGUUUCAUUAGAUAAAAAAGAAAUAUGUGAAGUGUCCAAGAGAACAGUGAUAGAAAAAUCUAUAAAGUAGUAAAUUGGACUACACUAACCGUGAUACCUAAGGAUCUCCAAGACAUGAUUUUUGAAUUUUAGACACUUCUCUUCCUUUCCUUUUCUAUCCAUAAUAAAUUCAUGGAGGAGCAGUAAUAGCCUUUAAAGUACUGUAAUGAAUGAUUUUUUUAUAAAUGCCAUGACUUAACUUAUGUACAGACAAUUCUUGCUUCAUUUAAAUUCCCAUUAGGCAAAUUUAAAUUUACAUAAAGAAAUUCUAAAAGAAAUCUACCUUCUAAAAAUAUCUGUUAACUUUACUAUUCAGUACUAUGCUCUCUCUCUGUGCCCGUUUCUUGGUUGGACUCUCUAGCAUCCUAUUUCCCCCAUGUCCCACCCCCUUGCUCCCUAAAAAGUCAUUUAAAAAUCCCUCCAGGUGGUGGCCUUUUUUCCUGUGGUUUCUGGCCUCCAUGUACCUACCCAUCCCCAUGGCUCUGUUAUAAGGAGGUAAGUGACUGCUCCUGUGAAUUGUUCUGCACUUCCUCCUCAUUGACUUUAUACCAUGCUGGCCUCCAAAGCACCCUUCAGUCUGGUACUGCUCCUACUAAGGCAGUCUGUACAGUGCUGAGCCACAGUUUCUCAGCAGCCACUAGUAUAUUGCACAGUUUGAAGCUGGACUUAAUGAGUUUCUCCUGCCCACAAUGUUUGCCUUUUGUCUCACUUUAGCUCACUAUAAAGCCUUCACUUGGGUAUCCUGCUGUCAUGCAGUCUAGCGACGUCAGCAGAGCUGGAUUGUAGUAAGCAUAUGUCUACAUUGCUCUAUUGGUUUCCUCCACCUUUGUCAUGCUGAGUUAUAAACUUGCAAUUGAGUUCAGGGACACUCUAGUCACUGAAGGUCAAGUGAGGUUGGGAGAUAAAUCUGCAUAGGGUCCAAAUCUUAGAUUUGUAGAAAUGGUUGUAUUUGGAGAUUGAAUGCUUAGCUUGAUAAUUUUGAGACUGUACCAAUCACUGGGUUUAAUGAAGAAACAGGUUCAAAAGACAGAUUUUGUGAGCCUGGUUUUCAUCAUUGAGGUUGAGACGACUAUACUGAAAUGUAGGAAUACAUUCACACUAUCUAAUUUAUCAUUUGUAUAAAUAAGUUUUGAGUAUGUGUUACAUGACUUGAGUUAUACUGGGAUAGAUGAUACAAAAGUCAGUCUUCUGAAGACCCAAAGUACAAAAGAAAAAAAAAAAUCUCAGACUAUAAGGUAGAAUACAAAUUGGUAGCAUAAUGUGAUUAAGAAGUCAAGUAUGUUGAUUGACAUAGUUGAAAUGGAUCUCUUUUUUAAAAUUUUUUAAAUUUUUUUUUUUAUUUAAUAGCCUUUUAUUUACACGUUAUAUGCAUGGGUAACUUUACAGCAUUGCCAAUUGCCAAACCUCUUGUUCCAAUUUUUCACCUCUUACCCCCCACCCCCUCCCCCAGAUGGCAGAAUGACCAGUAGAUGUUAAAUAUAUUAAAAUAUAAAUUAGAUACACAAUAAGUAUACAUGACCAAACUGUUAUUUUGCUGUACAAAAAGAAUCAGACUCUGAAAUAUUGUACAAUUAGCUUGUGAAGGAAAUCAAAAAAUGCAGGUGGGCAUAAAUAUAGGGAUUGGGAAUUCAAUGUAAUGUGUUUUAGUCAUCACCCAGAGUUCUUUCUCAGGGCGUAGCUGGGUCAGUUCAUUACUGCUCCAUUGGAAAUGAUUUGGUUGAUCUCAUUGCUGAGGAUGGCCAGGUCCAUCAGAACUGGUCAUCAUAUAGUAUUGUUGUUGAAGUAUAUAAUGAUCUCCUGGUCCUGCUCAUUUCACUCAGCAUCAGUUCUUGUAAGUCUCUCCAGGCCUUUCUGAAAUCAACCUGUUGGUCAUUUCUUACAGAACAAUAAUAUUCCAUAAUAUUCAUAUACCACAAUUUAUUCAGCCAAUCUCCAACUGAUGGGCAUCCACUCAGUUUCCAGUUUCUAGCCACUACAAAGAGGGCUGCCACAAACAUUCGUGCACAUAUAAGUCCCUUUCCCUUCUUUAUGAUCUCUUUGGGAUAUAAGCCCAGUAGAAACACUGCUGGAUCAAAGGGUAUGCACAGUUUGAUAACUUUUUGAGCAUAGUUCCAAAUUGCUCUCCAGAAUGGUUGCAUUCAUUCACAACUCCACCAACAAUGCAUCAAUGUCCCAGUUUUCCUGCAUCCCCUCCAACAAUCAUCAUUAUUUUUUCCUGUCAUCUUAGCCAAUCUGACAGGUAUGUAGUGGUAUCUUAGAGUUGUCUUAAUUUGCAUUUCUCUAUUAAUAAUGACUUGAAGCAUCUUUUCAUAUGACUAGAAAUAGUUUCAAUUUCUUCAUCUGAGAAUUGUCUGUUCAUAUCCUUUGACCAUUUUUCAAUUGGAGAAUGGCUUGAUUUUUUAUAAAUUAGAGUUAAUUCUCUAUAUAUUUUGGAAAUGAGGCCUUUAUCAGAACGUUUGACUGUAAAAAUAUUUUCCCAGUUUAUUGCUUCCCUUCUAAUCUUUUCUGCAUUAGUUUUGUUUGCACAAAAACUUUUUAGUUUGGUAUAGUCGAUAUUUUCUAUUUUGUGAUCAGUAAUGAUCUCUAGGUCUUCUUUGGUCAUAAAGUCCUUCCCCUUCCACAGGUCUGAGAGGUAAACUAUCCUGUGUUCCUCUAAUUUAUUAAUAAUUUCAUUCUUUAUGCCUAGGUCAUGAACCCAUUUUGACCUUAUCCUGGUGUAUGGUGUUAAGUGCGGAUCAAUGCCUAGUUUCUGCCAUAUUAGUUUCCAAUUUUCCCAGCAAUUUUUAUCAAACAGUAAGUUCUUAUCCCAAAAGCUGGGGUCUUUAGGUUUGUCAAAGACUAGGUUGCUAUACCUGUUGACUGUUUUGUCCCUUGAACCUAACCUAUUCCACUGAUCAACUAAUCUAUUCCUUAGCCAAUACCAAAUGGUUUUGGUAACUGCUGCUCUAUAAUAUAAUUUUAGAUCUGGUACAGCUAAGCCACCUUCAUUUGAAUUUUUUUUUUCAUUAAUUCCCUUGAAAUUCUUGACCUUUUGUUUUUUCAUAUGAAUUUUGUUGUUAUUUUUUCUAGGUCAUUAAAAUAGUUUUUUGGGAGACUGAUUGGUAUAGCGCUAAAUAAAUAGAUUAGUUUAGGUAAUAUUGUCAUCUUUAUUAUAUUUGCUCGCCCUAUCCAAGAGCAUUUAAUAUUUUUCCAAUUGGUUAGAUCAGACUUAAUUUGUGUGAAAAGUAGUCUGUAAUUUUGCUCAUAAGGUUUCUGAUUUUCCCUUGGCAGAUAGAUUCCUAAAUAUUUUAUAUUAUCAGUAGUUACUUUAAAUGGAAUUUCUUUUUGUAACUCUGACUGUUGGAUUUUGUUAGUGAUAUAUAAGAAUGCUGAUGACUUAUGUGGAUUUAUUUUAUAACCAGAAACUUUGCUAAAGUUGUGGAUUAUUUCUAAUAACUUUUUAGUAGAAUCUCUGGGGUUCUCCAAGUAUACCCCAUAUCAUCAGCAAAGAGUGAUAAUUUGGUUUCCUCAUUGCCUAUUCUUAUUCCUUUAAUCUCUUUCUCAGCUCUUAUUGGCAAAGCUAGCAUUUCUAAUACAAUAUUAAAUAGUAAUGGUGAUAGUGGGCAACCUUGUUUCACUCCAGAUCUUAUUGGGAAUGGUUGCAGUUUGUCUCCAUUCCAUAUGAUGCUUACUGAUGGUUUUAAAUAGAUGCUGCUGAUUAUUUUGAGGACAAGUCCAUUUAUUCCUAUACUCUCAAGUGUUUUUAAUAGGAAUGGAUGUUGAAUUUUGUCAAAUGCUUUUUCUGCAUCUAUUGAGAUGAUCAUAUGGUUUUUGUUAAUUUAGUUAUUAAUAUGGCCAAUUAUAUUGAUAGUUUUCCUAAUAUUGAACCAGCCCUGCAUUCCUGGUAUAAAUCCUACUUAAUCAUAGUGUAUUAUCCUGGGGAUAAUUUUCUGUAGUCUUUUUGCUAAUGUCUUAUUUAAGAUUUUAGCAUCAAUAUUCAUUAGGGAGAUUGGUCUAUAAUUUUCUUUCUCUGUUUUCAACCUACCUGAUUUAGGUAUCAGAACCAUGUCUGUGUCAUAGAAGGAAUUUGGUAGGACUCCUUCAUUCCCUAUUUUAUCAAAUAAUUUAUAUAGCAUUGGGGCCAAUUGUUCUUUAAAUGUUUGGUAGAAUUCACAUGUAAAUCCAUCUGGUCCUGGAGAUUUUUUCUUAGGGAGUUGUUUAAUUGCCUGUUCUAUUUCUUUUUCUGAAAUGGGACUAUUCAAGCAAUUUACUUCCUCCUCUGUUAGUCUGGGAAGUCUAUAUUUUUGGAGGUAGUCAUCCAUUUCACUUAGGUUAUCAAAUUUAUUGGCAUAAAGUUGAGCAAAAUAAUUCCUUAUUAUUUCUCUAAUUUCCUCUUCAUUGGUGGAAAGUUCUCCCUUUUCAUUUUUAAGACUACUAAUUUCAUUUUCCUCC